UACGUAGGGGGCAAGCGUUGUCCGGAAUCAUUGGGCGUAAAGAGCGUGUAGGCGGUCCGGUAAGUCGGCUGUGAAGGUCCAGGGCUCAACCCUGGGAUGCCGGUCGAUACUGCCGGACUAGAGUUCGGAAGAGGCGAGUGGAAUUCCCGGUGUAGCGGUGAAAUGCGCAGAUAUCGGGAGGAACACCUAUGGCGAAGGCAGCUCGCUGGGACGUUACUGACGCUGAGACGCGAAAGCGUGGGGAGCAAACAGG
rnacentral:rRNA from 1 species